rnacentral:rRNA from 1 species
AAAAACAAACACACAUCAAAAAAAAUAUGGGGGAGAAAAAAACAAAAGUUUUUUUUUUUGGGGGGUCUUUUUGGGGGGGGGCGCCCCGGGGGGGGGGGGGAUAAAAACUUUGGGGGGAAUUUUUUCCCCAAAAAAGGUCUUGGGAAAAAAAUUGGGGGGGGAAAACUGUUAGGCUAAUAUCCGGGAUGGGUUUCGUAAGGGAGAAAAGAUUUUUUCGCCUUUAAAAUGAGCCCCCCCCCUAGAAUUGUUUGUUGGGGGAGGUAAAGAGCUCCACCCAGGACUACGAUCUAUAGCUGAUUUGAGAGGAUGAUCAGCCACACCUGGGACUGAGACCCGGCCCAGACUCCUACGGGAGGCAGCAGUGGGGAAUAUGGACCAUGGGGGGAAACCCUGAUCCAGCAAUGCCGCGUGAGUGAGAAAGGCCUUCGGGUCGUAAAACUCUUUCAUCAAUGAAGAUAAUGACAUNAAUGAANGAAGAAGCUCCGGCUAACUCCGUGCCAGCAGCCGCGGUAAUACGGAGGGGGCUAGCGUUGUUCGGAAUUACUGGGCGUAAAGCGUAUGUAGGCGGAUCAAAAAGUUAGAUGUGAAAUCCCUGGGCUCAACCCAGGAACUGCAUUUAAAACUAGUGAUCUAGAAUUUGGUAGAGGUUAGUAGAAUUUCCAGUGUAGAGGUGAAAUUCGUAGAUAUUGGAAAGAAUACCAGUGGCGAAGGCGACUAACUGGGCCAUUUUUGACGCUGAGAUACGAAAGCGUGGGUAGCAAACAGGAUUAGAUACCCUGGUAGUCCACGCAGUAAACGAUGAGUGCUAGUCGCUGGGUCAAUAGAUUCGGUGUCGAAGCUAACGCAUUAAGCACUCCGCCUGGGAAGUACGGUCGCAAGAUUAAAACUCAAAUAAAUUGACGGGGGCCCGCACAAGCGGUGGAGCAUGUGGCUUAAUUCGAAGCAACGCGAAGAACCUUACCAGACCUUGACAUGGUAUGUUUGAAUUACAGAAUCGUAAUUCUUCAGUUCGGCUGGCAUACACACAGGUGCUGCAUGGCUGUCGUCAGCUCGUGUCGUGAGAUGUUGGGUUAAGUCCCGCAACGAGCGCAACCCUCAUCUUUAGUUGCCAGCAGGUUAAGCUGGGCACUCUAAGAAACUGCCGGUGAUAAGCUGGAGGAAGGCGGGGAUGACGUCAAGUCCUCAUGGCCCUUACGGUCUGGGCUACACACGUGCUACAAUGGUGGUGACAGUGGGCAGCUAUGUCGCGAGACAAAGCUAAUCCCAAAAAGCCAUCUCAGUUCAGAUUGGACUCUGCAACUCGAGUCCAUGAAGUUGGAAUCGCUAGUAAUCGUAGAUCAGCAUGCUAGGCUGUACUCGCCGC